rnacentral:other from 1 species
AUCUUUCUGGAAUGUUCGAUAACCUGUUAUUUUGAACCUACAACCUUUUAUUGGGAGUUCUAUAUCAUGUUAACCGCAUUCGAUGUCAGGCCUCAAAAUAAUUCCGUUAAAGGUUCCGCCCUUUCGGCGGAGGAAGACAGACAAUGCUUUGCGGACACCCACCUAGCUUAUGCUAGGAGUCAAAAGGCAGGACCGGCACUCCGGAGGAUUU